AUACGCAAAAAGGAAGAGACUCAUAGAAUGGCAGAGGCAAAUAGAGCUUUUGCACAUUUUCGUUAAUCCAUGAACAGGAUCUAUAUAGACACAUAGAUCCAUGGAUCCAUACAUCUCGAUCGGAAAAGAAUCAAUAGAAAAAGAAUCGGACGAUAUCUUUCUCGAAACAAACAAAAAGGAAAAGAAAGAUGAAACAUAAAUCAUGAUCAACUAAGCCCUCUCGGGGGCUUGCUUAAGAAUAAGAAAGAGGAAUCUUAUGGAAAUAUCAUGGAAUAAGAUUUGAUCUAUUCAUGGGGAUUCCGUAAAUAUCCCAUUCCAAAAAUAGAAAGUUCGAAACAAUUGGGACUUUUUCGGAGAUUGGAUGCAGUUACUAAUUCAUG
rnacentral:lncRNA from 1 species